UACGUAGGGUGCAAGCAUUAAUCGGAAUUAUUGGGCGUAUAGGGCGCGUAGGCGGACUAACAAGUCGGAUGUGAAAUCCCAGGGCUCAACCCUGGAACUGCAACCGAAACUGUUAGACUAGAGGGUAGGCGGAGAAAACGGAAUUCCACAAGUAGCGGUGAAAUGCGUAGAGAUCGGGAGGAACAUCAGUUGCGAAGGCGGCUCUCUGGACCAGCACUGACACUGAGGCACGAAAGCGUGGGGAGCAAACAGG
rnacentral:rRNA from 1 species